UUGAAUCCCCUCGAUCUGUUUCCUCAUUCCAUCAUCAAGGACGCUCUAGCUGCGGAGCCCUUCGCCACCUCCGAGAUCCGCCGCCGCCACCCUCUCUGAUUCUUGUCGACGCUGCCGGCGACGCCAUCCGGCUCUCGCGUCAGCUGCCACCAACGUGGCUCCACCCCUGUCUCCCCCAUCGAUCCCCAGCACCUCCUCGGUGUUCCCCCCUGCGCGCGCCCCUGUGGGCUGCGGCUAACCCUAGACGCCAACUCGUGUUGCGGGCACUGAGGAUGGGAGCGGGCGGCCGCAUCGCUAAGGGGUUGGAGCGCCUGGGGCGUCACCGCCGCCGAACUCCGGGAAUCGCCGCCGCCAAGUCUCCAGGGCAGGGCGGUUUCAAACCCUGCCGACGAACUCCAGGAUACGCAUAAUCAUUGCCGCCGCCCCCCUCCCCCGGCUGCCCCGCGGUCUUCUAUCUCUCCCAACUCCGCUGUCGCGCCACGUCUUCCGUCUCUGCAUGAAUCGCGGCUGUGGCAGCCACUCCCCAUGGCGGCCAUCCUGGCACACCGUGUCCGGGAUGAUGGAGGUGAUGUCGGCCAGGUCCCUGUUUCCGUCGGCAUCUUCUGCGAUGAGACCCGUGGGGGCAGGUUGCACGCUGCUCAUCUGCGUCGAUGGCGUCGGCGUGGUCCUUCCCCUGCCAAGCGUGGCUGCUCCUUGGCUGGAUCAUAGUGAUGAUACAGUCGGCUCGGCGGGGGCUAGGGAUCUCGCUGGCUAGCGUUUAUUUGAUGUCUGGAUGUUCCAAUUGUGAUGGAACAGACGUAUAAUGUACUGUACAAGAAUUUGGACGAGGCUCAUCUGCGUGGAUGGUUGUGGCUUGGCUGCCGGGCACACAAUCCAUUGAUUCACACAUAAGGUCAAAACCGAGUCGCGGUGUUCACAAUGCUGGGCAUUAUUUAUAUCAAAGGACGAGGAGGAAGAUUUGGAUGACCGUAACCAAAAUGGCAAGGGCAGCAACAUGGUCGUCACCUGCAAUGCCGAUGGGUGCUGAGAUUAAGAUGUUUGGUUUAUUUGUUGAAAGUUACAUCCCAUGUUUCAUGAUUUAUUUGCCGCUGGUUAAUCAUGAUAUUUUGAACUGCUCUGACAAUUGCUUGCUGUCUGCGUCUCUUACUUUCCAACUUGCUGCACAUACAGAUAUACAUCAUUAGAAUCUCUUUGUACUUAUUCAACAUGCUUCAGUUAUGCUUCUUUGAAAAUCCAGUUGUAGAUGCAGUGAAGCCCCAUUUAGAUCUUGGCUAUAGUAUUAUUCUUGUCUUAUGACUUAUGACGGAUUGAUAUGUGAUACCAUGACAUAGCAUUGUGGUACCGUGGUAGUCACAUUUGGUGGUAGUUCUGAUUAUUUGCUAGAUUACGAGAUAAGACCAAGUGCUUCUGCAACUCGGUUGCGGUUUUGAUAGGAACAUGAAGACUUGUGCCAUGCCAUGGAGCAUGUUUGAUUUAAAGGACAUAGUUGCUCCAAUAUAUUGAGCAGGGAAGAAGUUUGUUACAAGUGUUUUAUAGAGUUGACGCAAGAGACAUCCGACGGGAUACAUUGGUGCAGGAAUCGACGAAGAAGCUUCCGUUCAGCAUGGUAUCUCAAUGGAAGAAUAUCCGAAGCAAACCUCCGCUACUUGUCUGUUCCCUUUCAUUUGUCGUGGGAAGACCUUAGGAAGGUAGGAAGACCUUAGGAAGAGUGUGUGGGAGGAAGGGAGGCAUGUGCUAUAGAUGUAGGCGAACAAUGGUCCUUGGAAAUUAUUAGUACUUUACAAAAUGUCUGUCCCCUGUGAUGCCUACAAUGAGCGAGAGAGGGUGGAAGGAAGGGAGACCGGAGGAAGGAAGAUGGGGAUAUAUGUAGAGAGAGGGAGAUAGGAGGAAGGGAGAUGGGCAUAUAUGUAGAGAGAGGAAGAUCAGAGAGGGAGGGAAGAUUUACAGGACGAUUGUCAUUGAGCCACUCAAAUAUGUAUGUCUCUGUUGCAUCACACGGGCAAUUAACUAUAGAAAAAUUCAAGGCUAUUUUUGAAAGUGACAUUUAUUCACGCCGAUAAUUUCCAGUUUCAUGUGGCAAUGACGCAUGGAGGACGACGGUCACGAGUGCAUUGUCGCAAGCUCACGGGAGGGAGGCACACAUCUCAUCCAAUGGAAAAGCACGCUCCGAAAAAACCCUAACCCUCCAUGGAGCCAUUGCUAGGGGGCGACGAGAUCAACGCCACCCAUCACGACCACUGAGAUGUAGAAGUGCGGAGAUUUCUUGCCUGGCGUAUAACAAUGCAUGUUCAAUGGGUCGCCUCUUCUCACGCACAAGUCUCAGGGGGAGACAACGACAGCUAUUCAGAAUAACCACAACAAAAUUGUGACACUGGUGGUUAGUGGGAGAAGGAACCUGAGACCGCAGCCGAUUCUGGAGCAAGGGCGAUGUGUAGAAGAUAGUUGUAUCAAGCAUAUAUAUAUAAGUCACUCUGGAAAAAGUGUGUAGUCGUUGUUGUAAUAGAGAUCCAUACCUAUAUUUUCCAAAGUUCAAAAAAGCGCUAGGACGUGAAGAAAUAAGCUAGAUGGGCUGGGCUAGCCCACUAAACCAUAGGCCCAUCUUCA